rnacentral:rRNA from 1 species
AUUGAACGCUGGCGGCAGGCCUAACACAUGCAAGUCGAACGGUAACAGGAAACAGCUUGCUGUUUCGCUGACGAGUGGCAGACGGGUGAGUAAUGUCCGGGAAACUGCCUGAUGGAGGGGGAUAACUACUGGAAACGGUAGCUAAUACCGCAUAACGUCGCAAGACCAAAGAGGGGGACCUUCGGGCCUCUUGCCAUCAGAUGUGCCCCGAUGGGAUUAGCUAGUAGGUGGGGUAACGGCUCACCUAGGCGACGAUCCCUAGCUGGUCUGAGAGGAUGACCAGCCACACUGGAACUGAGACACGGUCCAGACUCCUACGGGAGGCAGCAGUGGGGAAUAUUGCACAAUGGGCGCAAGCCUGAUGCAGCCAUGCCGCGUGUAUGAAGAAGGCCUUCGGGUUGUAAAGUACUUUCAGCGGGGAGGAAGAGAGUAAAGUUAAUACCUUUGCGCAUUGACGUUACCCGAAGAAGAAGCACCGGCUAACUCCGUG